rnacentral:lncRNA from 1 species
GCCUGUGUUGCCGCUGUGGCCGUCGCCGCUCCCCAGUACAGCUAUGGGGUUCCUUCUGCUGAGUCUAGCGAGGAAGUCGCUGCUCCUCAGACCAGCUAUGGUGCUCCUCGUGCUGCAUCCAGUGAGGAGGUCGAGUUCGUGCCAAUUCUCAAGGACGACCGCGUCCACGAGGAAGACGGAACUUACAACUUCGACUUCGAAGCUGCCAACGGCAUCCGUUUCUCACAAGCUGGAUCCCCCGACGGUGAUGACGACGCCGUAAUCAAGGCUGGAGAAUACUCUUACACCGCUCCUGACGGUACUGAAGUCCAUGUCAAGUACGUGGCCGACGAGAACGGCUUCCAGCCCCAGUCCGACGUCCUCCCCGUGGCCCCCGCUUUCCCCCACCCGAUCCCUCAGUUCGUCCUCGACCAGAUCGCCUUCGCCGCCGAGGAGGACGCCGCCGCCGCCCGCGCCGCUGAGGAAGAUUCCGACGAAGUUGUCGCCCCAUCAACUCUCUACGGCCGCCCUAACUAACUUUAUACACGAACCAUGUAUUUAUUCUAUUUAUAUAUCAAAUAGAAUUCUUAAAAUCA